rnacentral:rRNA from 1 species
CAAGGGGGGAACGAGCGUUGUUCGGAUUUACUGGGCGUAAAGGGUGCGUAGGCGGGCCGAUAAGUCGGAUGUGAAAUCUCACAGCUUAACUGCGAGGGGCCAUUCGAAACUGUCGGUCUUGAGUGCAGGAGAGGAGAGUGGAAUUCCAGGUGUAGCGGUGAAAUGCGUAGAUAUCUGGAGGAACACCGGUGGCGAAGGCGGCUCUCUGGACUGACACUGACGCUGAGGCACGAAGGCCGGGGGAGCAAACAGG